GACGAACGCUGGCGGCGUGCUUAACACAUGCAAGUCGAACGCUGAACCCGCUUCGGUGGGGGAUGAGUGGCGAACGGGUGAGUAACACUUGGGCAACCUGCCCCCGGCUCUGGGAUAACUCCAAGUAAUGGGGGCUGAUACCGAAUGUGACUGCUGUCCUCAUGGUCUUGUUUUGGAAAGGGUUUCCGGUUGGGGAUGGGCUUGCGGCCUAGCGGCUGGUUGGUUGGGUAGUGGCCUACCAAUGCGACGACGGGUCGCCGGCCUGAGAGGUGGACCGGCCACCCUGGGACUGCGAGACGGCCCAGACUGCUACGGGCGGCAGCAGUGGGGAAUAUUGCGCAAUGGGCGGAAGCCUGACGCAGCGACGCCGCGUGGGGGAUGACGGCCUUCGGGUUGUAAACCUAUUUCAGCAGGGACGAAGCGAAAGUGACGGUACCUGAAGAAGAAGCACCGGCCAACUACGUG
rnacentral:rRNA from 1 species